rnacentral:rRNA from 1 species
GUAGGGUGGGCAAGCGUUGUCCGGAUUUACUGGGCGUAAAGCGCGCGCAGGCGGGCCAAUAAGUCCCGGGGUUAAGUUCCACGGGCUCAACCGUGGGCAGCCCCGGGAUACUGCUGGCCCUUGAGGCAUCCAGAGGAGAGUGGAAUUCCCGGUGUAGUGGUGGAAUGCGUAGAUAUCGGGAGGAACACCAGUGGCGAAAGCGGCUCUCUGGGGAUGUCCUGACGCUGAGGCGCGAAAGCGUGGGGAGCGAACCGGAUUAGAUACCCGGGUAGUCCACGCCGUAAACGAUGAGUACUAGCUGUCGGGGGUGUCGACUCCCUCGGUAGCGCAGCUAACGCGUUAAGUACUCCGCCUGGGGACUACGGCCGCAAGGCUA